GCCUCUAUAGCUCAGUGGUGAAACACUGGUCUAUUAAACCAGGGGUCAUUAGUUCAAUCCUCAUUGGAAGCA
rnacentral:tRNA from 1 species